rnacentral:rRNA from 1 species
AUUGAACGCUGGCGGCAUGCUUUGCACAUGCAAGUCGAACGGCAGCACGGGGGCAACCCUGGUGGCGAGUGGCGAACGGGUGAGUAAUGCAUCGGAACGUACCCAGUCGUGGGGGAUAACGCAGCGAAAGUUGUGCUAAUACCGCAUACGACCUGAGGGUGAAAGCGGGGGACCGUAAGGCCUCGCGCGAUUGGAGCGGCCGAUGUCUGAUUAGCUAGUUGGUGGGGUAAAGGCCCACCAAGGCGACGAUCAGUAGCGGGUCUGAGAGGAUGAUCCGCCACACUGGGACUGAGACACGGCCCAGACUCCUACGGGAGGCAGCAGUGGGGAAUUUUGGACAAUGGGGGCAACCCUGAUCCAGCCAUGCCGCGUGCGGGAAGAAGGCCUCGGUUGUAACCGACUUCGGUACGGAAGAAAGUACGCAUGGACGUAAUACUACUGUGUGGA